AGCGAUGUAGCUUAGCUGGUAAAGCAUCCGACCGAUAAUCGGAAGACCGACAGUUCGAGUCUGUCCAUCGCUACCA
rnacentral:tRNA from 1 species